rnacentral:rRNA from 1 species
CCUACGGGUGGCAGCAGUGAGGAAUAUUGGUCAAUGGACGGAAGCCUGAACCAGCCAUGCCGCGUGCAGGAUGACGGUUCUAUGAGUUGUAAACCGCUUUUGUAGGAGAAUAAAAGUUGUUACGUGUAGGGUUUUGAAUGUAUCGGACGAAAAAGGAUCGGCUAACUCCGUGCCAGCAGCCGCGGUAAUACGGAGGAUUCGAGCGUUAUCCGGAUUUAUUGGGGUUAAAGGGUGCGUCGGCUGGCGGAUAAGUUAGAGGUUAAAUGUUGGGGCUUAACCCCGUGCCUGCCUCUGAAACUGUUAGACUAGAGAGCGGAUGCAGCAGGCGGAAUGAGUAGUGUAGCGGUGAAAUGCAUAGAGAUUACUCAGAACACCGAUUGCGAAGGCAGCUUGCUAGUCCGCAUCUGACGCUGAUGCACGAAAGCGUGGGUAGCGAACAGGAUUAGAUACCCGGGUAGUC